rnacentral:rRNA from 1 species
GUUAAAAAGCUCGUAGUUGGAUCUCGGCGGGCAGGGGGUGGUUCGCUCUUCAGCGCUACUGCCCCUUGCCUGUAUUGGCGAGUUCGGGGUGCUCUUCUUGAUACUCGACCCGUCAGGUUACUUUGAAAAUUAAGUGCUCAAAGCAGCUUUUCACGCUUGAAUAUUCGUGCAUGGAAUAAUGGAAUAGGAACUCGUUUCUAUUUCGUUGGUUUUCGGAAAUCGAGUUAAUGAUUAACAGGGACAAUUGGGGGCUUUAGUAUUCAGACGACAGAGGUGAAAUUCUUGGACCGUCUGAAGACUGACUACUGCGAAAGCAUUUGCCAAGAGUGUUUUCAUUAAUCAAGAACGAAAGUUAGAGGUUCGAAGGCGAUCAGAUACCGCCCUAGUUCCUAACCAUAAACGAUGCCAGCUAGCGGUCUGCCGAGUUUUUUUU